GUCCAUUCCAUGGACAUAUGCUAAAACUGGAACGAUACAACGAAGAUUAAUAUGCCCUUCGAGCAAGGAUGAUACGCAAAUUUGUGAAGAAUUCCAAGGAUUU
rnacentral:snRNA from 1 species